UUUAAUGGAUUUGGCGGCAAGAUAGCCCAUUUAGAGGAACCUGCCCUGUAAACGAUGAACCACGAUAAACUUUACUUUAAUUAGAAACCAGUUUGUAUACCGCUGUUGUUAGUCAGUUUCCAUAGAAUACUUUCAAUAAUGAUACGUUCAUUGACUUCAAGUAAAGGUGCAGCUUAUAUUAAAGAUAGAGGUGGGUUACAAUUAUUAGAAUAAUUACGGAUAGUAGGAUGAAAAAUUACUUGAAGGUGGAUUUAAUUGUAAAAUUUAUAAUAAUUUGACUUGAGCACUGUUUUGUGUACACAC
rnacentral:rRNA from 1 species